rnacentral:lncRNA from 1 species
AUAGGUUUAUCAAACAAUUCUCAAUUCUGUGCAUCCCAAGAGUUAUGAAAACCACAGGGAGGCAUCAUCCCACCUGUCAGGACAGCUGCUAUCAAAAGCACGGCUAUGGACACGGGCAUGACCACUCUGAAACCCUUGCACAUUAUUGGUGUGAAUGCACAGUGGUGGGUCACUGUGGAAACUGGUAUGGAGGAUGCCCAAGGAGGAAAAGUAGAACAAUCUAUGAACCAGCAAUUUCUCAUGCAGGUAUUUAUCUGACAGAUGAAUGGAUGGAGAAAGAAAAAAAUAUAUAUAUAUAUGUAUAUAUAUAUACAUAUAUAUAUACAUAUAUAUAUACACACACAUAUUUACAUAUAUUCACACACACACACAACACACACACAUAAAUAGUGCCAUUUUAUUCAGCUUUUAAAAAAGAAGAAAAUUCUUGAGUGCCAGACAACCUACAUGAACCUCAAAGACAUUACGCUGCUAAAGAAUUAUUAACCAAUCACAGAAAGAAAAAUCCUGCAUGAUUACAUGUGAUAGGUAUCUAAAAUUGUCAAGUUCAUACAACUAAAGAGUGGAAAAGGAUCAUCAUCAGGGGUGCUGGGGAGGGAGAAAUGGGCACCAAGUUUCAAUCAAACAAGAUGAAUAAGCUCUGCAGAUCUGGUGUACAACACCAUGCUUGUAGUCAUGAUAAUGCAUUGUUAAAGUUAUUUUAAGAGGCAUACUUUAUGUUAAAUAUUCUUAACUCAAUAAACUAAAAUCGUUUUUUGCAAAGGGCUAUAUUUUGUUUAUUAUAAUACAAAGCUGCUUUAAAUCUAAAACACCUAUACAAACAAUUUUUUAAGGAAAUGAAGGAUUUUGCCAGAAGAUUAUUAAAGAAUAUGAGACGUCAGUCAGUACAGACAGUUGUCACUGUAAUCUUGAGGUGGUGGCAUGGAGUGUCUUGCAGUGUAUUUAGAGCAUACCAACCAACCAAACCCCUUUUGGAAAUGGUCUUAAAAAUCCAGGGGCUGCUAUAUCAUGCAAUAUCUCCGAGAAAUGAAUGAAGAACUGAGAAGGGAGCGCAAUUUCAAUAGAAGACGAAGAACUGAAGACAAAGAGAAAGGAAAAGAACAUGAGAACUUUGGAUCCUAAGUGCCAACCCUUAGUCCUUGAUAUUAGGUUGACUACUGAAUGGCGUGGGCAUUCAGAGACUAGAAGAAAUAAGAUUGUCAGUAGUAUUAUCAUGGCUGCAAUCUGGAUGAAAACUCUAAAUGUUUCUAAACUUUCACUGGAUGGCUUUUUCACUUUUAUUGAGAUUAGACUUUGUCACUUUACAACAGCUCUACUUAGCUCUAAAAGAUUAUUUUAAAAAGAGAGUGCUUUAAUACACGGGUUUAGAGAAAUGAGCCCACAGGCUUGCUUGUCUUAAGGACCAUGCUGACUGCCAUCUUCUCUGAGAUAAUAUAUACCAACUUCAGGACCUGGAAGCUUCCACAACUCUACCUCUGAAUUCUCCUAUCAUGGACUUGCAGAACAUUGGAUGCUAACCAGGUUCUGAGAAUGUCUAUAAUGGAAUUCCUUCCAUCAGCUCCGUCAAUUUGUAUGUGUGUUUAGCUAAUUACUUUUUAUUUUAAGUGAUAUGGAUGUAGGAUUUUUUUAAUAGUAGAACAGAAACAUACAUAAUGAAAAGAAAAUGUCUCUCUGCCUGGUUCAUGACCAGACUUUUGCCUCAAAGAUAAACAAUUGAGUUUCUUAUAGGUCCAUCAGGCACUCAGGGUAAACACACACACACACACACACACACACACACACACACCAUUUUGCACACAUUGCAUUAAAUCUUAAAGAGAGUUUGGAUUUUUACUUUUUUUUUUAUUAAAAUGUCUGUUGCCAAAUUACUUCUCAAGGACUUGAGGAUGUUGUUUUCCCACCCAGAGAGGAUUUCUGUGUUUAUGUUUUCACACUCUCCCCACCAAUGGAUUUUUAAUUGGAUUAAUUUGAAAGGAGAUUUAUGAAAUGUCACAGUGAAACUCAUUAUUUUGUACAAUUACUAUGCAUUAAUGACUAUAAUUUUGAAAAGAAAAGAUCAUCAUUCUUGCUUUUGUUGGCCUUUAUUUAAUUAUAGAUGAAAGUAAAUACUUUUUCCUGUUUGGGCCAUUUGUAUUUCUUUCUCUAUUAAGGGUCCCCUCACAUUUACCUAUCUUCUACUAC